ensembl:misc_RNA 7SK 7SK RNA
GCAUGUGAGGGCGAUCUGGUUGUAAUGUACUUGCCCCUUUGACCGCCAGGGUUGAUGUGACCGACCUGGCUAGCUAGGCGGGGGUUUCCUUCCUCCUUCACUGCUCCCAUGAGCGUUUCUCCCGAAGCUGUGCCCUCAGUGAAAUCGCACAGCCAUCCCUGGUGGAGGAGGACGGGUCUUCAGUAAAGGGCCUAGGAGUAGCUGUGCUUUCCCCAUAGAACUUCCAAGCAAGCUGCCAAGUUUACUCUCUAAAUUGUACAUUUUAAUGCUUGGAAAGGUGUAGUAAACUUAAUUGAUUACAGAUAAAAUAGUUAAGCUCAGUUUAUU